rnacentral:lncRNA from 1 species
AUGCGGAUGCCCUUCACUACCUACUCCACACAGGGCCACACCCUUAUGGAGCUCACCUCAGACAGAUCUGGCCUUCUAGUCCUCCAGAUGAUUGUGAUGGCAGGUGCUGAGGUCUUGGCACUUUUCACUUGGAGAAGGAGGCAACAGUGCUGCCAGUCUGAUAUUGCUCUGAACACAGGACCAUUGACGCAAAAAGCAUUUGAGGAGGGGCGCCUGGGUGGCUCAGCGGGUUAAGGCCUCUGCCUUCGGCCCAGGUCAUGAUCCCAGGGUCCUGGGAUCGAGCCCUGCGUCGGGCUCUCUGCUCAGUGCAGAGCCUGCUUCUCUCUCUCUCUGCCUGCCUCUCUGCCUACUUGUGUUCCCUGUCAAAUGAAUAAAUAAAAUCUUUAAAAAAAAAAAAGGCAUUUGAGGAGACUACGUCUGAAGUGAGUCCAACCAGUUGUUACCAGCAUUUUGUUCCAUGUAUU